UGAGGCCUAGGACUUCACCAGUCUGGGGGAGGCAUGACUCAAUCCCUAAUGCUUGUGUCAAGAAAAAUACCAGUUGAGGUGUUUGCUGCCAGCUAAGAACAUAACAAGCAGGGCACAUGGGCAGCGACUACCCCCACUCACAGCCAAAGCAGCAAAUACCUGCAGACAGCAUCCUCCCCUGCCUGGACUCAGCCUGAAAACCACAUCCUAAGGCUGCCACGUAUUUACUUGUAAAAUACUAUGCUAAAACCAGAGUGCAAAAUUAUGUGUUGGGCAUUCAAAGCUAUGUGAGGAUGAGGAGCAUACUUCUGGAGCAUCAGCUGAAUUCCACGAUAAGGACAGAGGGAUACAGAGGCAUUAGUUUGCUUGUCCAAGAUCACUGAGGAGGCGCUGAGAAACCUGACAGGAAACCUGCAACAGCGUGGUAAACCAUAGCUGCCACCCUUACCUUGGAAGUGAGAAAGGAAAGGUUAAGAGGUCUGGGAGCUUCUCCAUUUGGAGAAUGCUCAUCUACAAGAGACCCGAAGACCAUCUGGCCUCAGAGACCAUGCAUUACAAAACAGAGUGUCAUUUUACAUGCAGGCUCCAAAAGCAUUGGUUCUAGGUUCCCCUACCUCUGGGCCAACAUUAGGUAUCCCUACAGCACCACCAGCUCUUUCCAGGAGAGUCUAAAGAGAUUCUGAGUGCACCAGACUAUGGCAAAAUGGGAGAAAGACACUCCAAGCUCGUGCCACACUUUGCCUCCAGAGCACCAAAGCCCCUCAUGGAGCCUCUUGAGAGCACCUUCUGGACCUCACUCAUCAACUACACCAUCUACCCACCAUCAGGAUAACUGCUUCUCAUUCCUCCACCUGUUACAACUCCAAUUUACAGAUCAGGCAACUGUGGCAAAAGUACAUUAAGAAACUUGCCUCAGAAUCUGAUUUAUUCGACUCCAACAUGGAAUGAGAGAACAUGGGGAUGAGCAAUCCACGGGAAAGGCUUAUGGCUACGUUGGAAAAAGUCAUACAUUACUUCUACCCACCUUCCAUUGGGCAGAACUCAGUCACAUGGUCUUAUCAACUACAAGGGAGGCUGGGAAAUGUAGUCCAGCUGUGUACCCUAGCCGGGGGCGGGGGUAGGGGGGUGGUGGGGAGCGGGGGGCGGGGCGGUGGAACAGAUGGAUUUUGGUGGACUCAGAGCUGUCUCUACCAUAGGCACCAGGCAAAGCCCUACAGAGCUGAAAUUAGUCUGGGAAGCCAGACUCAAAAGCACACUAUCAUUUUUUAAUCACCCACCUUAUCCACUCCAGAGUUACAAUAAAAGCUCUCAACUGUAUCACUGGACAACACUCUGCUGGGGAGGCAUGAAGGGAAGGUUCUCUAUGGGGGAGUUAUCAUCUGAGAUGCUGCUUAAAUGUAAAAUUGAGGUAUCAUUUACUGACAACUUGCUAUUUGCCAGGCACUGUGACCCAUGCUGUAAUUAAUAGCCUCUCUCAUUUAAUCCUCACCUUGAUAAUAUUAGGCAGCUACAGUGAUUAUCCCCAUCUUUCAGAUGAGAAGUUGAAAUGUUGAGAAGUGGUACACUAAGUCACAAGAGAACCAGAAAUCACAUCCAAGUCAAUGGGAUCUCAGCAUUCAGGUGCUUACCUCAAUGGCUUUUACCCAUCUAUCCUCAUUUCUUCCAAUCAACAAGAUAAUGUGUUGUCCCUAAAGGGAGAAAUAUCAGGGUUCCUACCUUCUCAUCCUAUUAUUUAAACCACAGCAUUAGGUCACUGGGAAAAGAAACCAUUUUCAUAAAACAUUCAGAAUGUGAAAUAUGAAAAAGACACAAAUCUACUCACAGGAAUGUUGCUAAUCAGAGUGAUUUUUUUUAAAAAAAUCACUGCUUAGCUGCCUAUAAGGCUUGUGUUCUACUCAGAACAAGAAAGAAAGAGUCGUUAGCUGAAGACACCAGGCUUAUUAGACAGAGCCUCAAGCAUGCUCUCAGCCUUGGGCCAACAGCCUUCAAAAUCCAAAAGCAGAGAGACAUGUGUGUUCAAAUUCCUCACUCAAAACAAUUAGAGCAGUCCAACGUUGGGACUGUGGGUUUGCCACCCGUAUCUGGGAUUGCAGGUUCCUCCGAGACAGUUUACUUACCAAUAUGGUAAGAUGCAAUGCUAAGAGAUGAAUAGUUAUGAGGCAGUUACCAAGUAGCUUUGUUUCAUACUUAGAGAAUGUCAGAAAAAGUAUUAUGAGGAAUAGGAUUGUAUUUUUGUUGUUAUUGUUUAUUGGUUUGUUUUCUCUUUCGGGGUAAGAGAGAUUUUUCUGAUUUUAACACACAUAUAUUUUUAAAAUAUAUCUGAAAUAUAAAUGUGUUUUAAAAUCAACAUGUACAUUUAAUGUGUUGCUUUUGUUCCACAUCCUCUCCUCCUGCAAAAAAAAAUUAUUAUUAAAGUGAAGCUGAGAUGUAUAACCCCUGAUAUCUAAGAAUGGAGGGAAUAUAACACACAGUACUGUAUGAUACAUGAUUCAAGUACCCAAUUUUCUCAUCCUGUGCCAAUAAACUGGCUGCUUGUACAGGCUUUGAGCAGGAGAUCCUAAGAGCAGGGUCUGGAUCAUUUAAAUUAAAAAUACACACCAAACUAAAGAAAACAAAAUGCCAACAACAACGUUCCUUUAAAAAAGAAUAGACUGCAUUUUAAAUAUUCAUUUAAAUGUACAGUAACAGACUAUUACACAUUUUCAUGUUUUCUCUUUGACAGUGUUUCAUUUGCAGACUCUCCAUGGCUUAUAAAAAUAUACCCAGAGUCCAAAUCUCCACAGCAUGAGAUUUUUCACAUUCUCUAAUUUGCAGUAAUGUAUUGUGUCAAAUUCCGUCUUUAACCCGCCCAGGGACAACACUGGCACAUGGGGCCUCUGCUGCACAAACUAACAUUUCAGUCCAGGCACCAUGGGGAGCUCUGGAGCAGGGCGUGAGCUUGGCUACUGUGAGAGUGUCCCCUCAAAUGUUGAACCCCUAGUUUCACUCUUGCUGUGGAUGGAGUUUCACCACAAAUCAUGAGCCCUCCAGGUCUCUGCUCAGUGCCUGUGGUAGAGGCAGCUCUGAGUUCAUCAAAAUUUGUUUCUUCCCCUUGGGUUCACAGCUGGACUACAUUUCCCAGGCACCCUUGCAGUUUAUGAGACCAAGUGACUGAGUUCUGGCCAAUGGGAGGGGGGCAAAAGUAAUGUAUGACUUUUCCAGGUGUUGCCCAUAAAUCUUUCCUGUAAAUUGCUCAUCCGCAGGCUUUGUUGUUCCAUCUUUGAGUUGAAUGAAGCCAACUCUAAGACAAGUUUCUUAAGGUGACUGCACCUCAGUUGCCCAAUCUGUAAAAUGGGAGUGAAAAAUUCACUUCCACCUCUGACAUAGCUACGAGGAACGGUAAACAAAGUGGAAAACAAGGCAGUAGAGGUUAGUGAUUUCACCUUCACAGUGUGUGGAAAGAGAAUGCCUGAAUUCAAAGGUUGGCUGUGUAGUCAUGUGACUUUGUUACUUAAUCUCUCUGAACCUAGUUCCUAUUCUGUAAAAUGUAAAUAACUAAUACUGACCUGAUAGGAAUGUGGUGGGGAAUAAUUGAGAUUAAGUAUGUAAAAUACUCAGAAGAUAAUAAACCUGGCACCAAGGGAGUGCUUAACAAGUCGUAGCUGCUACUAUUACUGCUGCUGCUACCACUGCUACUGAAGUAAUUAUUAUUAUUUUAGUACCUUAAAUGUGCUUAGAAGAGUGCCUGGUGCAUAGUAAGUAUUUAUAAAUGUUAACCAUCAUUAUUACUUUCUGCAAAAUACAUUUAACACUAGAAUCUAGCAGAAUUAAGUGAAAUAGUGCGUAUGAAGUCUUACUAUACCACCUAGCAUUGGGGGGAAAAUUUUAGCCUUUAUUAAUCCCUGAUCUUUUUUUAAAAAAACUUUUUUUUUGAGAUGGAGUCUUGCUCUGUCACCCAGGCUGGAGUGCAGCGGUACAAUUUUGACUCACAGCAACCUCCGCCUCCCAGGUUCAAAUGCUCCUCCCACCUCAGCCUCCCAAGUAGCUGGGAUUAUAAGCAUGUGCCACCACACCCAGCUAAUUUUUGUAUUUUUGGUACAGACAGUGUUUCAUCAUGUUGGCCAGGUUGGUCUCGAACUCUUCACCUCAAGUGAUCCACCUGCCUCAGCCUCCCAAAGUGCUGGGAUUACAGGUGUGAGCCACCACACCCAGACCCCUAAUACUCUUAAAUGCCACAUGUGCUGUAUUGGAAAAGAAGAAGCCACAGGUUAAAACCAGGCACUGGGCAGAGAUGCCAUCACUACCACAAGGUGGUAGAGACCAAGUGAAUACAUGCAACAAAAUCAAACAUAAUUUGAGCUUGGACUCAUCCAGUUCUAGACUUUCACCCAACUAGAAUCAGAAGACAGUUCAGGGCCAAGAUGGAGAGGAUUCUUCACUGGGGAUCCAAGAUUCUACAGGGGUUCCUAGAUAGAACACAGUGAGUCCGUGAACUUCGAUAGGAAAAAAUAAAACUUGAUUUUCACUAGCCUCUAACAAAUCUAGCACUCCCUUUAAAUAUAAGACACAACAUUGCAGUAGUAUUACAAGUACCUGUGACUUUGUCACCAAGAGAAAUCACAGAUAUUUUAGUCACAUUACAUUAUAAUUGUCACAGAUAUCUCAAAAUAUCAUAAUGCUUAUCGCUACUUCCAAAUUAUGGUAAUUACUAGAUUUGCUUGUUCAAUGUGUUAACAAAGAAAGCAAAGAUUUGACUGAAUCAUGUUUUAAUUUAUUUAAUAAAUGUAUUUCAAUAUAAA
rnacentral:lncRNA from 10 species